CAAACGCGAGUCUGAACGGCUUGAUUCUCUGUAGAAUCAAUUGACUUGCGCUUGCGAUGUUGUGUUUGCAAUCUCGAUUUUCGAGUUAGGUAGAUUCUACCACCACACUUUGGCUAGUUAUCCCCUAGUCGAUGUGUGUACUUCCUGUAUUUUUGACCUGUCUGUCAAAUUUUCUUACACCGCCUAAAUGGCGGUGUUUUUUUAU
rnacentral:other from 1 species